rnacentral:lncRNA from 1 species
CCACUACAGAACUUUAGAUAAGGUCUAAGUCCUGGGAGGGAAGAGGAGCUGGAUCUUUUCUAUUGGAUGCUUCCUAAAAUGCAACUAGCUGGCAGAAGACAGAGCACUUGGGUUGAAUGUUUCACAGAGCUAAAGGUGCACUAAUUCUGGAUGAGACUCCAGCUGGGAGGAUAGAUGUGUCCAUCCCUUCCAUCUGUCUAUCUGUCUGUCUAUAUCGCAGGAGGAGAAAAGCAUAGAUCAGAAUGAUGGACAUGCCCCUCUCCAGGACGUGUCACCCUAGGGCAGGGAAAUCAUUAGAUCUUCCAAUCCUGAAGAUUUCUCCGAGAACAACAGCUUGCAGAAAGCAAACCCACGUUGCGAGUUCCAGACAAAGCCCCAACUGUUCCAACUGUGAUUACCUAAACGCGUUUUAGAACUUGGACAGAGACUUUAGGACAAUACUAAUUAAUAGUAAAGCUGGGCCAAAAAAGUUA